CCAUGGGCAGGUUGAAGCUGUGGUAACACAUAGUGGAGGACCGAACCCGUUGACGUUGAAAAGUCUUGGGAUGAGCUGUGGGUAGGGGUGAAAGGCCAAUCAAACUGAGAGAUAGCUCGUACUCCCCGAAAUGCUUUUAGGAGCAGCGUGUGGGUUUAGUUUAUUAGAGGUAGAGCUACCAAUUGGACUAGGGGGAGUCAAAUCCUACCAAAUCCAGAUGAACUCCGAAUGCUAAUAAAUAUACCACACAGUGAGGGCUUGGGUGCUAAGGUCCAAGUCCGAGAGGGAAAGAACCCAGACCUACAGCUAAGGUCCCUAAA
rnacentral:rRNA from 1 species